rnacentral:lncRNA from 1 species
CGACAGAUCCAAACAAGGAACAUUUGAAAAGCGCCUCGUGUGAUCUGGAACAAAGACGUUUUAUAAUCAGAUUUAUCAAGCUGCGAAGAGGGAGUUUUAGUGAACGGAAGCAGCAGCAUUCUGUCACCAGGAAAUACUCCUUUAUCCAGAAUUGAGCCCCUCCCCAGAAGGCAAAGGAUCACCCAGCUGCUGGAAGGUGUAGGUACCCUCAAUGGCUCAGUAGCCAGUGUAGAUCCUGUCUUUCGUAAUCAGCAGCUACAUCUGGCUACUGGGUCUCUGAUGGCAUCUUCUAGCUUCUGCUUCAGUGUCCUGAGAGAGAUUAUUGGGCAGUCUUUAAUAAUGAAAACUUUACCUUGAAUUACACACACACACACACACACACACACACACACACACACACACUCACACACACACUCACACACACACAAAGAGAGAGAGAGAGAGAGAGAGAGAGAGACAGAGAGAGAGGAGAGAGUCAAGUUCUAGGGUGUUAAGUCCAACAUUAUCAGCUGGGGCUUGGGAACCUUCAAGGUUUUAUGAAUGAUGAGGUCUAUUUGCUUUCAAUACUACAAGGGGGAGGAAUCUGGAUAUUUAUCCAUGUUUUAGCUCUUACCUGUUUUUGUUUUACCUCUUUUUUUCUCUUUCCCCCCUAUGAAAGGUAUCAUUUGGAUAGAUCAAUCUAUUCAUCUAUCUACCUACCUACCUAUCUACCCCUACCCAUCCACCCAUUUAUCCAUCCACCCAUCCAUCCAUCCAUCCACCCACCUGCCCACGUACCUACCAGUUUAUCUAUCCGACCUUCCUUCCAUCCAGCUUUUUCAUCUCUUGACUUUUAGAUGGCAUUUUCAACAUGAUGUCAUGAUUAAAUGAUGACAACUUGAUGAUAUGAUGGUUUAAGGAAAUUUUGUUGGUAGUAGGUAAGUCCCAGCAUUUCUGACUGUUGGUUUUCUUUUCCUUGUGGUAGAAAAGACAAAUGCCAAUUUUGAAAUCUUGAAUGCAGUAGGCAGUUGUGUUGAAAUAGUAUGUGAGAAUUACUUGCAAGCUGAACAUCCAGGUCUGGGGCAUGAACCUGGCAUACAAUGUAGAUUUCUGUGUUCGUUAGGCAACAGCUACAUUGUCUGCUGGGUUUCAGGCUACCUGGAAACAUGUUCUCCAUUGGCUGUCUCACCAAUGCUACCCCUAUAAUGUUUCUGAAUAACUGUUUUCCAGGAGGUAUAAACCAGUGGAGUUUAUCAUUGAAUAGAGUGCAGAGAAAGGACCGCAAGAAAGCUGAUCACCUCAGCAAUGAAUGAUUUCAAUACGAUUUCACCCAAAUGGUCUCACACACCAGCCUAGUAAACCAGAGAUAAGGUGUAAUGUCAUCCUUCCUUCCUUCUCCCUGCCUCAACUGUCAAAGAUUGACAACUUACAUGUUGUUUACUUUUUGGCUUCUAUUUCUGUUCAUAAUUAUUAUCAGAAGGCAUAGCACCCACAAGCCUAAUCAUACUGCCUUACAACCUUAUUCCUCUUCAUUUUGUCUUCUCACUUACCUGCAGAAACCCAGUUUAUUUUUGUUCUCCCUUUACCACACCAGCCUUGUAACUGUUAUGAAUGACCCUCAAUCUCACUGGAAUCUGAAUCACUCAGGAAUUCAAGCAAACUGGAUGUUUUAACCACUGUUCAGCUUUCUUAUGGAAUGACAGAGAACUUGUAAAGAUAAAACACCAGUUUGCAGGAAGAAAGGAAGAGAAUGGAAAUUGCUUCUGGAAAAUACUAGUUUUACAAUAUGUUUUGUUUGUCUGCUCUCUUAAAUAAACUUAAUCCUAUAAACAUUUUUUAAGAACUAGCCAUUAAGACUGUUAAGUUCUCAAUUAUAAAGGAAUAAAAUGUUUUAAGGAGGAUUUAUUUGCCCUUGCUUAUAUGAACUGCAUAUUUUUAGUAGGAAAUCAUGUAAUUUAAAUUAGUAUUGGUUAACAGAUUUAACGUAGAAAAUGGACAUAUAAAGAAUACAAGGAUAAAUGUCUACAUGUAAUAAUGGAUGGUAGUGAUAUAAUGCAUUUUUGUCAUCCCAUGCUGAAUUCAGUAAAAAUAAAGCUAAUGACUUGGAGCUUUUAAAA